rfam:Phycisphaerae bacterium SM23_33 WORSMTZ_9249, whole genome shotgun sequence.
GCCCGGGUGGCGGAACUGGCAGACGCGCCAGCUUGAGGGGCUGGUCGGCCUUACGGCCGGUGGAGGUUCAAAUCCUCUCCCGGGCA